UAGCUCGGGUUUCUCUUCAUUCACGCACAAAUCUUUCGCCUUUUACUAAAGAUUUCCACGGAGAGGAACGUCGAUGAGUUCAGCAUAAUCAAUCAAUCAAUCAAUCAAUAAAUAAAUA